rnacentral:rRNA from 1 species
AGAGUUUGAUCCUGGCUCAGGACGAACGCUGGCGGCACGCUUAACACAUGCAAGUCGAACGAGGUCCAAGGAGCUUGCUCCUGAAGACCGAGUGGCGAACGGGUGCGUAACACGUGAGAAACCUGCCCCGAACUUGGGAAUAACAGUCGGAAACGACUGCUAAUACCGAAUAUCUUCACACCGUCGCAUGGCGGAGUGAGGAAAGCUCCGGCGGUUUGGGAGGGUCUCGCGGCCUAUCAGCUAGUUGGUGAGGUAACGGCUCACCAAGGCAUCGACGGGUAGCUGGUCUGAGAGGAUGAUCAGCACACUGGAACUGAGACACGGUCCAGACUCCUACGGGAGGCAGCAGUGGGGAAUAUUGCACAAUGGGCGCAAGCCUGAUGCAGCGAUGCCGCGUGCGGGAAAGAAGGCCCUAGGGUUGUAAACCGCUUUCAGCAGGGAAGAAAAUGACGGUACCUGCAGAAGAAGGUGCGGCCAACUACGUGCCAGCAGCCGCGGUGACACGUAGGCACCAAGCGUUGUCCGGAUUUAUUGGGCGUAAAGAGCUCGUAGGCGGUUCGGUAAGUCGGGUGUGAGAACUCUGGGCUCAACCCAGAGACGCCACCCGAUACUGCUGUGACUUGAGUACGGUAGGGGAGCGGGGAAUUCCUGGUGUAGCGGUGAAAUGCGCAGAUAUCAGGAGGAACACCAGUGGCGAAGGCGCCGCUCUGGGCCGUAACUGACGCUGAGGAGCGAAAGCGUGGGUAGCAAACAGGAUUAGAUACCCUGGUAGUCCACGCCGUAAACGUUGGGCACUAGGUGUGGGUCUCAACCAACGAGAUCCGCGCCGUCGCUAACGCAUUAAGUGCCCCGCCUGGGGAGUACGGUCGCAAGACUAAACUCAAAGGAGUUGACGGGGGCCCGCACAAGCAGCGGA